ACGCUCGACACCUACGGGAGGCAGCAGUGGGGAAUAUUGCACAAUGGGGGAAACCCUGAUGCAGCAACGCCGCGUGAGUGAAGAAGUAUUUCGGUAUGUAAGGCUCUAUCAGCAGGGAAGAUAAUGACGGUACCUGACUAAGAAGCUCCGGCUAAAUACGUGCCAGUAGCCGCGGUAAUCUGAGCGGGCUGGCAAGGC
rnacentral:rRNA from 1 species